AUUGAACGCUGGCGGCAGGCCUAACACAUGCAAGUCGAACGGUAACAGGAAGCAGCUUGCUGCUUUGCUGACGAGUGGCGGACGGGUGAGUAAUGUCUGGGAAACUGCCUGAUGGAGGGGGAUAACUACUGGAAACGGUAUCUAAUACCGCAUAACGUCGCAAGACCAAAGAGGGGGACCUUCGGGCCUCUUGCCAUCGGAUGUGCCCAGAUGGGAUUAGCUAGUAGGUGGGGUAAAGGCUCACCUAGGCGACGAUCCCUAGCUGGUCUGAGAGGAUGACCAGCCACACUGGAACUGAGACACGGUCCAGACUCCUACGGGAGGCAGCAGUGGGGAAUAUUGCACAAUGGGCGCAAGCCUGAUGCAGCCAUGCCGCGUGUAUGAAGAAGGCCUUCGGGUUGUAAAGUACUUUCAGCGGGGAGGAAGGGAGUAAAGUUAAUACCUUUGCUCAUUGACGUUACCCGCAGAAGAAGCACCGGCUAACUCCGUG
rnacentral:rRNA from 1 species